AUGGAACCUAGAUUUGGCACGCUGGAUGCCGGCGUCGUCCGCCCCAACACCGCAGCAGCCCACCGCCCACCACCAGCAAGACUCCCUCCCUCCUCCUAUCUCCUCCUACGCCACCGACGUCGUCCCUUCCUUGGCGCCUCUCCUGCCUCUUCUGCCACAGUAGUACCACACCCACCAUCACCACCACCUCGCCCUCCUCCUAGCCAUCUCUCCGCCCUCCCCCAUCUCCUACCAUUCCUGCAAAAAGGAGCACAAGCGCCCGCGGCUGGAAGUGGGCAACAGGUAGCGGUGAAAUUUCCUCCUCGUUUUCACUGUGAGUGGUUGCCUACAAUUGCCUAG
rnacentral:rRNA from 1 species